AUUGAACGCUGGCGGCAUGCCUUACACAUGCAAGUCGAACGGCAGCACGGGAGCAAUCCUGGUGGCGAGUGGCGAACGGGUGAGUAAUGCAUCGGAACGUGCCCAGUCGUGGGGGAUAACUGCUCGAAAGAGCAGCUAAUACCGCAUACGACCUGAGGGUGAAAGCGGGGGACCGUAAGGCCUCGCGCGAUUGGAGCGGCCGAUGUCCGAUUAGGUAGUUGGUGGGGUAAAGGCCUACCAAGCCUGCGAUCUGUAGUUGGUCUGAGAGGACGGCCAGCCACACUGGGACUGAGACACGGCCCAGACUCCUACGGGAGGCAGCAGUGGGGAAUUUUGGACAAUGGGCGCAGGCCUGGUCCAGCAAUGCCGCGUGCAGGAAGAAGGCCUUCGGGUUGUAAACUGCUUUUGUCAGGGAAGAAAUCCUCUGGGCUAAUACCUCGGGGGGAUGACGGUACCUGAAGAAUAAGCACCGGCUAACUACGUGCCAGCCGCCGCGGUAAGAC
rnacentral:rRNA from 1 species